rnacentral:rRNA from 1 species
AGUGAACGCUGGCGGUAGGCCUAACACAUGCAAGUCGAACGGCAGCACAGUAAGAGCUUGCUCUUACGGGUGGCGAGUGGCGGACGGGUGAGGAAUACAUCGGAAUCUUCUUUUUCGUGGGGGAUAGCGUAGGGAAACUUACGCUAAUACCGCAUACGACCUACGGGUGAAAGCAGGGGAUCUUCGGACCUUGCGCGAUUGAAUGAGCCGAUGUCGGAUUAGCUAGUUGGCGGGGUAAAGGCCCACCAAGGCGACGAUCCGUAGCUGGUCUGAGAGGAUGAUCAGCCACACUGGAGCUGAGACACGGUCCAGACUCCUACGGGAGGCAGCAGUGGGGAAUAUUAGACAAUGGGCGCAAGCCUGAUCCAGCCAUACCGCGUGGGUGAAGAAGGCCUUCGGGUUGUAAAGCCCUUUUGUUGGGAAAGAAAAGCAGCAGGUUAAUACCCCGCUGUUCUGACGGUACCCAAAGAAUAAGCACCGGCUAACUUCGUG